GCAUUGGCUUGUGGCCAGUGCAGUGCCGCAGGGAAGCCGUUAAGUUUGCCGCCUGGGAAGUACGUACGCAAGUAUGAAACUUAAAGGAAUUGGCGGGGGAGCACCACAAGGGGUGAAGCCUGCGGUUCAAUUGGAGUCAACGCCAGAAAUCUUACCCGGGGAGACAGCAGAAUGAAGGUCAAGCUGAAGACUUUACCAGACAAGCUGAGAGGUGGUGCAUGGC
rnacentral:rRNA from 1 species